AUUGAACGCUGGCGGCAUGCCUUACACAUGCAAGUCGAACGGUAACGCGGGGCAACCUAGCGACGAGUGGCGAACGGGUGAGUAAUGUAUCGGAACGUGCCCAGUUGUGGGGGAUAACUGCUCGAAAGAGCAGCUCAUACCGCAUACGACCUGAGGGUGAAAGCGGGGGAUCGCAAGACCUCGCGCACUUGGAGCGGCCGAUAUCAGAUUAGGUAGUUGGUGGGGUAAAGGCUCACCAAGCCAACGAUCUGUAGCUGGUCUGAGAGGACGACCAGCCACACUGGGACUGAGACACGGCCCAGACUCCUACGGGAGGCAGCAGUGGGGAAUUUUGGACAAUGGACGCAAGUCUGAUCCAGCCAUGCCGCGUGCGGGAAGAAGGCCUUCGGGUUGUAAACCGCUUUUGUCAGGGAAGAAACGCUCUGGGUUAAUACCUCGGGGUAAUGACGGUACCUGAAGAAUAAGCACCGGCUAACUACGUGCCAGCAGCCGCCGUAACAC
rnacentral:rRNA from 1 species